GCUAUAGAUGGUUUUGCUAUGCACUUGUGGAGACUUUCAGGACUUGUAGAUUGCAGUUUCAGUUGGCGUCUCAAGUGGGUUCAUACACUGAGUUUCAUUAUUGCAGUUACAUUUUAUUUAAUAGGAAAAUCUUGAUGUUAGAUCUUGAAGUUUUUUUUUCUGUACUUGUUGUAAAGCAAUCUUUGUGUGGAACCCUAGUGCCAUUAUCAGAUGUUAUUCCUGAUUCCU
rnacentral:misc_RNA from 1 species